CAGAUAAUAGUUUAUUAGAAUAUUAAUUUUGGAGAUUAAAGGAAGGUGUUAGCUCUUUUAUCUGA
rnacentral:tRNA from 1 species